rnacentral:piRNA from 1 species
UAAGGCCUAGAUUCUCAGCUUACUAAAGUG